GGGGGCUUAGCUCAGUGGUAGAGUGCUCGCUUCGCAUGCGAGAUGUCGCGGGUUCAAACCCCGCAGCCUCCA
rfam:Rhabditophanes sp. KR3021 genome assembly, scaffold: RSKR_scaffold0000058